UUCAUCGGUGCAAGCCAACUAGCACCGUGCUUGCGAAGGCGACGGCGUUUUCUUCGUUUUGUGAUGUGAACCUUUCUGCAACUUCUCUGCCAGCUGCAAUGC
rnacentral:lncRNA from 1 species